ACGUUAAGCUGCUGAAUCUGGUUGUCUUUGAAUGUGUAUCUUGUGGUAUUUGCUAGUUAAUGUUGAGAUUGAACCUUGAUUAAAUCCUCCAACAGAAGAAGUGGAAGCAAGGAAGCUUGCCACACAAGAUGAAGAAGUGACCAAGGAGUCACGUACGUAGAAGAAGAAGCUUGGAGUGCAAGAGACGGAGGAAGUUACACAACAAGAAGAAUAAGAGUAACUAGUUAGUUGGUAAGCUAACAAAGUUAAGUUGAAGUAGUGGAAGAGUUAGUAAGAGUUGUUGAGUGUGUAAGGUUAGUUGGUUAACCUUACUUGUAAGAUCGACUAGUCUAAGUAUGAGCAGUGUGACUUGUGUAAGAGAGUCUAGGACCUAGAAUAAUGGGUUAAAGGAUGGAUGGAGUUAGUAGAGAAAACUACUAUAACUUGUGUUGUACUGUUGUAAUAAAAGAUAUCCAGGUUUAAUAAGAAAAGAUUUGGAGAAAGAACAAUGUGGACGUACAAAGAUAAACUCUCUUCUCUCUCUACAUGAACAAAG
rnacentral:lncRNA from 1 species